rnacentral:rRNA from 1 species
GUUAGGAAUAUUGGACAAUGGGCGAAAGCCUGAUCCAGCCAUGCCGCGUGAACGAUGAAGGCCUUCUGGUUGUAAAGUUCUUUAGCCGAUGAUUAUAAUGACUGUAGUCGGAAAAUAAGCCCCGGCUAACUUCGUGCCAGCAGCCGCGGUAAUACGAAGGGGGCGAGCGUUAUUCGGAAUCACUGGGCGUAAAGCGUGCGUAGGCGGUUUUGUAAGUUAGGAGUGAAAGCCCAGGGCUCAACCUUGGAAUUGCUCUUAAAACUGCAAGGCUCGAAUCUCGGAGAGGAUAGCGGAAUUUCCAGUGUAGCAGUGAAAUGCGUAGAUAUUGGAAGGAACACCAGUGGCGUAAGCGGCUAUCUGGACGAGUAUUGACGCUGAGGCACGAAAGCGUGGGGAUCAAACAGGAUUAGAAACCCGAGUAGUCC